rnacentral:lncRNA from 1 species
CUGGAUCUCACACUCUUAAGACUGGUUAAUUUUUCCUUAGAAAUGACACAUCUUUUGGCUGGGCGCAGUGGCUCACGCCUGUAAUCCCAGCACUUUGAGAGGCUGAGGCGGGCGGAUCACGAGGUCAGGAGAUUGAGACCAUCCUGGCUAACACGGUGAAACCCCGUCUCUACUAAAAAAAAAAAUACAAAAAAAUUAGCCGGGCGCUGUGGAGGGCGCUUGUAGUCCCAGCUACUCAGGAGGCUCAGGCAGGAGAAUGACGUCAACCCAGGAGGCGGAGCUUGCGGGGAGCCGAGAUCGCGCCACUGCACUCCAGCCUGGGUGACAGAGCGAGACUCCAACUCAAAAAAAAAAAAAAAAAAAGGAAAAAGAAAAAAAGAAAUGACACAGCUUUUACACAUUUAUCAACAACUGUAAAAUGUGGUACAUUUUAGCACUUUCCUAUAAAUGUUGAAAUGUAUUUUUAGAUUCUUAUAGGGAUUAUAAGAAUAAUCAAUGGACCUGAGUCUCCUCUCCUCGUCUCUCCUAAAUGCCCUGCGAGCUCCAUCCACCUCGGUCUCUGUAAUUAGAACACGCCAAGGCAGAUUCUGAGGUGGAAGAUGCCAGGAUAACCUCAGGCCCAGGCCGCUGCAGGCUGGAUGGGUCUUCCUGUGAGGGGAAGAACUGGGAGAGUUGGUUUUAAGAGAAGCCAAAUGGUGCCUUGGGGAGAACGUUUUCUACAUAAACUAGCUCUAACUUUCAGGUGUGUCUUCACAUGCCCCGUUUGCUGCCUGCGCCUCUCCACAAAGACUACCAAAUCCUGGUAAGUCUUGCCUGCUCUCUCACUAGCAAAUUGGCAUUUUUAUGGAUUAAAUGAAAGUAUUAGAAUUUAGGGGGUAAGUGAAAUUGGCAUAAAGUAAGAAAUGGAGCAUAUUAGCACAUAGAAUACUAUUUUACAGAAUGAUAAUCCAAUGACACUUACAUAAAGGUUAUUGCAACAUAAAACAGUAUCCAAUGGGAAAAUUGAUGUUAGUGCAUUGUGAUACAAAGCCAACAACUUGAGCCUUAC